rnacentral:rRNA from 1 species
AUUGAACGCUGGCGGCAUGCCUUACACAUGCAAGUCGAACGGUAACGGGCCUUCGGGUGCCGACGAGUGGCGAGCGGGUGAGUAAUACAUCGGAACGUGCCCGAUCGUGGGGGAUAACGAGGCGAAAGCUUUGCUAAUACCGCAUACGAUCUACGGAUGAAAGCAGGGGACCGCAAGGCCUUGCGCGGACGGAGCGGCCGAUGGCAGAUUAGGUAGUUGGUGGGAUAAAAGCUUACCAAGCCGACGAUCUGUAGCUGGUCUGAGAGGAUGAUCAGCCACACUGUGACUGAGACACGGCCCAGACUCCUACGGGAGGGAGCAGUGGGGAAUUUUGGACAAUGGGCGCAAGCCUGAUCCAGCCAUGCCGCGUGCAGGAUGAAGGCCUUCGGGUUGUAAACUGCUUUUGUACGGAACGAAAAGCCUUCUUUUAAUACAGGAGGGUCAUGACGGUACCGUAAGAAUAAGCACCGGCUAACUACGUG